rnacentral:rRNA from 1 species
AUUGAACGCUGGCGGCAUGCUUUACACAUGCAAGUCGAACGGCAGCGCGGGCUUCGGCCUGGCGGCGAGUGGCGAACGGGUGAGUAAUACAUCGGAACGUGCCCAGUAGUGGGGGAUAGCUCGGCGAAAGCCGGAUUAAUACCGCAUACGACCUGAGGGUGAAAGCGGGGGAUCUUCGGACCUCGCGCUAUUGGAGCGGCCGAUGGCAGAUUAGCUAGUUGGUGGGGUAAAGGCCUACCAAGGCGACGAUCUGUAGCUGGUCUGAGAGGACGACCAGCCACACUGGGACUGAGACACGGCCCAGACUCCUACGGGAGGCAGCAGUGGGGAAGUUUGGACAAAGGGCGAAAGCCUGAUCCAGCAAUGCCGCGUGUGUGAUGAAGGCCUUCGGGUUGUAAAGCACUUUUGGCGGGAACGAAAAGGACUGUGCCAAUACCACGGUUCGAUGACGGUACCCGCAGAAUAAGCACCGGCUAACUACGUG